UUCCAAUCGAGCCCGGAGAUAGCUGGUUCUCCCCGAAAUAGCUUUAGGGCUAGCCUCAAGGUGAGAGAUACGGAGGUAGAGCACUGAAUGUCCUAGGGGGGAUUGCACCUACCGAAGACUAUCAAACUCCGAAUGCCGUCAUCUUAUACUUGGGAGUCAGACUGUGGGGGAUAAGAUUCAUAGUCGAAAGGGCAACAGCCCAGAUCGUCAGCUAAGGUCCCUAAAUGUAAGUUAAGUG
rnacentral:rRNA from 1 species